UAAUGAUUCGCCUGGGGUUCUCGUUGCCCCAU
rnacentral:sRNA from 1 species